GUUUCUUGGGGAUGUCGAGAUGUGUUCCUGUUCCACGGAAAAUAUUGUCGUCGUUUUUUUUUAUAGUGAUUGACAACAAAUCCGGAAGAGAGAUAAGCCGCUUCGGAGAAAUAUCAGAGUCAUGAAUAUCGAAGAGUGUUCAAACAACCGACGAUAUGUCAACUUUCUUGAACGAAACACUCGCACCGACUCGACCAUGAACAUUCAAUACAGUAUUCUGGACUGAUCGAACAGGUAAGAAGAAAUUUAAACGUCCCACAUGACACGUUAACUCUCUUCGUCGAAACACUCGCACCAGCUCGACCUUGAACAUUCAAUACAGUACGGUAUUCUGGACCGAUCGAACAAUUCUUGUCGCCAGGUAACAAGAAACUUAAUAUAGAUUUUCAAAUUCAAAACUUGCUCGUGUCAUUUUUUUUUCUUUUCUAUAUUUUUUCUAUAAUUUGUAUUAGCUUUAAUCUCAAGAUAGAUUUAUAAUUCCAUCUUAUUUUUAUUGGAAUCCUUCGGACCCAAUGUUUGAUCAUACUCGCACCGGUUCGAUUCUAAACAUUACAAAAACAAUAAAGUAUUUUGGAUUGAUCGAGCAGUUCUUCUCGCCAGGUAA